rnacentral:rRNA from 1 species
GUCUUUUUGAAUUUUAUUUAAAGUCUGACCUGCCCCCUGAAAUUUUAAAGGCUGCAGUAACUUGACUGUACAAAGGUAGCAUAAUCAUUAGUCUUUUAAUUAAAGGCUUGUAUGAAUGGUUUGACGAGGGAACAGCUGUCUCAAUUUAAUUUUACAGAAUUUUAUUUUUAAGUGAAAAGGCUUAAAUGUUUUAAAAAGACGAGAAGACCCUAUAGAGUUUUAUAAAUUUAUUAAAUUAAUAUUUUUUAGUAUAAUUAAAUUUAAUUUAAUAAAUUUAUUUUGUUGGGGUGAUAAAAAAAUUUAAUUAACUUUUUUUCUUUUGAACAAUAAUGUUUGAUUAGUUGAUCCGUUUAGACGAUUAAAAGAUUAAAUUACCUUAGGGAUAACAGCGUAAUUUUUUUUGAGAGCUCUAAUUGAAAAAAAAGAUUGCGACCUCGAUGUUGGAUUAAAUUAAAUAAUUGGUGAAGAAGCUAAUUUAUUGGGUCUGUUCGACCUUUAAAAUUUUACGUGAUCUA